rnacentral:lncRNA from 1 species
CAAUCUUACAGAAAUUUCAGAGAGCAUGAGAAAGAAAAAAAAGCAGCAGGAGGUUGAGGUAGUAGCAGCCAGGUUGAAGAGAGAAGUAGCAGCAGGGGGGUUGAGAAAAGAGAAGUAGUUGGUGAUAGAGUAGUAGCAGCAGCAACAAGAGGAGGAGCAGGACGACAACAGGCGUUGAGAGAGAAGGAGGAAGAGAUUCAGCAGCAGGAGGUUGCGGGCAUCAGCAGCAGCAAGGAGGAGAGAGGCGCGCGAGGGGGCAGACACCCGUCUGGUCGGGCGCGCGAGGUGCGGCGGUGGGAUGGCGGCGCUGUGGUGCAGAUGGAGUGGUGGAUGUUGCUGAUGGUAUGGCGCGGCAGCGAAGAUGUGGAUGGGCGGCGCUGGUGGAAGCUGUGUGGUGGCUGAGAGGCGCACCACCACGCCGGCCUAUCCGUGGCGGCGGCCGAUGGUGGAGAAGAAGGGGAGAGGGAGAGAGAUCAGUGGCCAGGCUCGAUGGGGAUCGGCUGCGCUAGGGAUUUUUGGUCCCCUCCUCUGUUCUGUCUUUUUUUUACUUUGGCCCUCCUCAUUUCUUCUUUCUUCCCAAGAAGAUCCUCCUCUUCUUUUAGUUUGCUCCCCUACAUUACUUCUUUCCUUCACGCUCAAGCCUUGACGUAUUUCUUUCAUGCCCUUCUCUCUUCUCGUUAGCCACAUAGUAGAAGUCUUGACGAUUAUAGUGCCUUUGUGCACUUUUCUGCAAAAUAAACAAUUCACUAGUCAACAUUCUCUUUUAUGAUUAUCAUUCGAAUAUUCAACAAGUCAUAGAAAGAAUGGAUGGAUAUAUCUCAAUAAAUGGUGAAUUUGUGUGCCCUAAUAGUAUAUAAGUGUAACGCCCCGGAUACAACUUUCCAUAUUCAGAACUCCGACUCUUGCCUUUUCCGGAGAUGCUAUAUGAUAUUUCCUUCAUGGUUGUGUUUUUGUCUGUUGUUUGCUUGUUGUUCUUGUUAUGCAUCUUGUCUCAUAGCAUCAUGCACAUUGCAUCGGCAUCGUUUUCAUAAAACUUGCAUCCGUUCGUGUUCCGCCGGUUCUCUCCGUGGUCCGUUCUGAAUCCGGACACACUUGCACGCGCCCGCGGCACCUCCGAAAUAUUAUUUUAUAAGUGGCAUAAAAAUGUUCUCGGAAUCGGUUGCAACUUGUCGUGCGGUCUUAUUAUAGUGUAGACAGGCCGCCUAUCAAGUUUCGUCGCAUUCGGAGUCCAUUUGAUAGCCCAACCGUCAUGCGUAGCGGCACCAUUGCCGGUUUAAUCGUCGGACGUUUCGGCUUUCGAAACUGUUGUCGGGCCUCUCUUCUCUUCUCUCCUCUCAGCUCGAGGCCUCUCAUCACAGCCCACUAGUUAGCCUAGCCCACCUACCUAACCCCCCUCCGCUCCGGACCGUCCGAUCGAGAUCGAACGGCUCCGAAACGGAGCAAAUCCCCCUAACCUAAGACCCCUGCCUUUUAAACCCCCCUUCCUUCCAAAAAUGGGCAACCCUAGCCUUCCCCUACCUCUAGCCUCCCCCCUCCUCAGAAUCCGCGCUGCCCCACCUCCUUCCUGCCACUUGGCCUCCUCCCAUUGGCCAGCCGCCGCUGUGCAGCCUCCCUCACCCAACCGGAAGCCUCCACCUCGCCUCCCCCAGCGCGCCUCCUCCACCUCAGGCCCGCGAGGCCCAGAUCAGGGCCUGCCGAAGCCCAUCUGGGCCCGGCUCCCACUCGCCUGCGCCCGAGCGCCUCCCCUCGCAGCACCCCGCCGCGUGGCCGUCCGCCCGCUUGCCGGUGCGCGCCACCACGCUGGUGUGCUGCCCCGGUCACCGAACUGCUCCGCCACCGCCACCGACCAGGUCGCCGCCUCCCUCUCUCUCCCGUCUCUCCCUCUGGUUUCUCUCUCUCUCAGAUCUCUCUCUCUCCUCUCGCAGGAGCUUGCCGCCGCUGCUCGGUUCUCGUCGCAGGAGCCCCUCCGGCCUCCUCCCGCGGCGGAUCUGGCGCCGUGCCGGCCGGAUCCCGCAGCUUCGGCCUCCUUUUGGCCUCCCCGGCACCGGACCUCGUCGGCAUCGCGCUGCGGCCCGUCCCUGCUGCCUUCCCUCGAUCCCCUCUGGAUCGAGGAGGACGACGCCCUGCGCCACCGCGUGGGCCUCCUCAGCUCCCCGGCCCAGCGCGCUGACCCGCUUCAGCCCAGCAGCGCCAAGGCCCAGCUCGCCCUCCAUCUCCCCCGCGGCCAGGCCCAGCCAGCUUCCUCCACCAACGGGCCGAAGCCCAUGGGUGAGCCCCCAGUGCCUCUCUGUUUUUUUUCACCGAUUGAGCCAAACCGGAUUCAGCCCGUUGUGUUUUUUUUUCCUGCUGCGAAUUUAGGCAUUAUCCAGAGACUGCCUGUUUUACAAAAAAAACCCUAAGCAUCAUGCAUUUAAUAUCUCUCAAACCGUGCAUCGGAUUAAAAUAAUUUAUAUAUGUAAAAUGCUUAGAAUUCUGUGUAGAUUAAUAAUAUGCCAUUUUCAUCCAUGUUUAAAAUGGUUAACUUGCUGUUUAUUUAAAUUUGCUCAAUUGCCAUGUUAAAAUGCUUUAAUUCAUAACUAAAUAACCGUAGCUCGGUUUUAAAUAAACUUUAUAUGUAAAUGGGGUGGAAAAAUGCCUAGAUUAACAUGGUGCACUUUAUGUUGCUGUUUAACAACCUUAAAAUGUUGUUUAGGACAGAACAGUACCGAAUCUAAAAUAUGCAUAUGGGGAUUUUCCAGACUUGUUGUUUGUUACUUUCGGCCUCAUUUAAAUUUGCCUAGAUAGGUAGUUUCCUUAUGUUUCACCUCUUUCCAUGUUUAACAACAUUUAAUAUUGUUGUGUACCUAAACGAGAGAGAACUAAAUAAUUGCAUGUGGUGUUUUGUCAAUAUGCAACUCGUUGCAUAUUGAGCUCCACUUAAUUUGUAGUGUUGUCUGUUGCAGUUUGCCAUGCCAUGCCUCUUUAAACCGGACAUGCAUCAUACUUGAUUGUGCAUCAUGCCAUGAUUAUGCUUGUGUGUUUACCAUGUUGUUUGUUUCUUUCCGGUGUUGCUUCUUAGUUCCGGUAAUGUUGCGAUUGUGAGGAUUCGUUCGACUACGUCCGCUUGUCUUCUUCAUGGACUUCUUCUUCCUAGCGGGAUUUCAGGCAAGAUGACCACUACCCUGGAUCUCACUACUAUCAUUGCUAUGCUAGUUGCUUCGAUCUAUUGCUUUGCUGCGCUACCUAUCAUCUGUUUGUCGAGCCAUCCCAUGUUGCCAUGAACCUCUAACCUUUGACACCUUUCCUAUGCAAACCGUUGUUUGGCUAUGUUACCACUUUGCUCAGCCCCUCUUAUAGCGUUGCUAGUUGCAGGUGAAGUUGAAGAUUGCUCCAUGGUGGACAGGAUUUUUGUUGGGAUAUCACAAUAUCUCUUAUAUUAUUAAUGCACCUAUAUACUUGGUAAAGGGUGGAAGGCUCGGCCUUAUGCCUGGUGUUUUGUUCCACUCUUCCCGCCCUAGUUUCCGUCAUACCGGUGUUAUGUUCCCGGAUUUUGCAUUCCUUACGCGGUCGGGUGAUUUAUGGGACCCCCUUGACAGUUCGCUUUGAAUAAAACUCCUCCAGCAAGGCCCAACCUUGGUUUUACCAUUUGCCUCACCACCACCUAUAUUUCCCUUGUGAGUAAUUAACCCAAGGGUCAUCUUUAUUACAGCCCCCCCGGGCCAGUGCUUGUCUAAGUGUUGGUCCGAACUAGAGCCCUUUGCAGCGCCCCCUCAGGGAAACUUGAGGUCUGGUUUUAGUUGUACGGAUUGCUCAUCCGGUGUUGCCCUGAGAACGAGAUAUGUGCAGCUCCUAUCGGGAUUGUCGGUGCAUCGGGCGGUCUUGCUGGUCUUGUUUUACCAUUGUCGAAAUGUCUUGUAAACCGGGAUUCCGAGUCUGAUCGCGUCUUCCUGGGAGAAGGUCUAUUCCUACGUUGAUCGUGAGAGCUUGUCAUGGGCUAAGUUGGGACACCCCUGCAGGGUAUAAUCUUUCGAAAGCCGUGCCUGCGGUUAUAGGCAGAUGGGAAUUUGUUAAUGUCCGGUUGUAGAUAACUUGACACCAGAUCCAAAUUAAAACGCAUCAACCGCGUGUGUGGCCGUGAUGGUCUCUUCUCGGCGGAGUCCGGGAAGUGAACACGGUCUUUGGGUUAUGUUUGACGUAAGUAGGAGUUCAGGAUCACUUCUUGAUCAUUGCUAGCUUCACGACUGUUCCGCUUGCUCUCUUCUCGCUCUUAUUUGCGUAUGUCAGCCACCAUAUAUGCUUAGUCGCUGCUGCAGCCUCACCACUUUACCCCUUCCUUUCCCUCUAAGCUUUGCUAGUCUUGAUACCCAUGGUAAUGGGAUUGCUGAGUCCCCGUGGCUCAUAGAUUACUACAACAACAGUUGCAGGUACAGGUUAUGCGAUGAUCAUGACGCGAGAGCGAUGCUUGCUUGCGUUGAGUUCUUCUUCUGCUUCUUCGAUCAGGGGAUAGGUUCCAGGUCGGCAGCCUGGGCUAGCAGGGUGGAUGUCAUUUGAGUUUCUAUUUGUGUUUCAUCCGUAGUCGGAUGAUGCUCUUAUGUAUUGUGAUGUUGUAUUCGUGUGGCAUUGUAUGCCUUAUGUAUGUAUCCCCAUCUAUUAUGUAAUGUUGAUGUAAUGAUAUCCACCUUGCAAAGCGUUUCAAUAUGCGGGUCUAUCCUUGGUGGGACCUUCGAGUUCCUUUUGGAUAGGGUCGCAUAUUGAGCGUGACAAGUUGGUAAUCAGAGCCUCGACCGACCAUAGGAGCCCCCUUGAUUGUUGGCCGUUGUUGAGUCUAGAAGAAAACUAUUUUGAGUCUUAGGAUUAUAUAUAUCGGAGAGUAGGAUUCUUUUUACUCCUCAGCCCCUUCGUCGCUCUGGUGAGGACUCCUGACGUAGAUGUUUUGACUUUUCUCUCCUCAAAUUUCACUAAAAAAAUUUUAGGAUCACGCGGGUAUCUUGGAAUCGUUCCGAUGGUUUUGUGACGAGAACAUUGUUCUUGGUGCCUCCUGUCUAUUUAUGUGGCAUUGACCCGGGGAGUCGAGCUCUGAGGUGUUGUUGUCACAAUUUUAUCGUUGCAGUUCUGGAAUACCUGAGAUUUGCCGACAUCGAAAAUCUCUUUUAUGCAGUUGUUGGUGAGAUAACCCCGAUAACCCAGUACUGGGGCGAGCUCGGGAGUAUUGCCAUAACUCGUAUAACGGAUGCUUUUCAAAGGUUGAGGUACACGAUUUCCGAAGGUUUCUUGGUUAUGUGUUGACGGAUGGAUACAGCUGGAUGUAGGUAUUGUUAGUUUGGGUGAGAUAUAUUGCUUCCCCUGUAUCCCCAACACCAGAUUGCAUAACCAGAAAGUUUCGGGAGUUUAUAGGUGGGAAUUCAAGUAGCUCUAGUUUUAUCUUUCCAACAGACACAUGAUACGAUAUGGGACCUAUCAUAUGUUUGUUUCCGGCUUAUUCUGCUAGCCAAAUCUUUUGCUCUGUUUUAUUUGUGGUAUUCAAGUUGCUUCGAAGUCAAGUGUUGAUCCAUACCUUCCCUAAAUGGUGUUCUCGUAUUUCUAUGGGAGUGGUAAUCCUUCUUGAUCAUCGAGAUUGUCAUCCCAAUUCUUUCCAACCGGCGUGCUUCUCUUCAAGGGAUUCGAUCAUUUCAACAUCCACAAGAUCAAUUCUAAGUUUUCUCAAUGGUGUUUGUUUCAUCCGUCCCCAAGUUGCCUUUGUUUUCCCGCCCUCCCACCCUUUUCUUCAAGGACUCAUUUAUUUUAAUCAAGUAUCCAUUUAUUCAUGUGAAGUCACUUCACUCUUUUCAAUCAAUGUUCUGAUCCGGUGAUCCCUCAUGAAGAUGCUCACGAGCUUCAAAUUCAUCAUCCUUCGUUCUUUUUUUUCUUCUUCGGUGGAUCCAAUUCAAGCUUUCAGUGUUGAUCAUAUUCCUUUCCUUGUGUCAAAUGCUUUUUCAUACCGGUGCACCUCUUAAUCUUUCACUUCUCGCUAUUCAUUUGUUCUGGAGUGCUGAAGAUAUCUCGGAAGACUUGUGUUUCCAUUCUCAAUCCGUUCAAGAUAUUUCGAGGUUGUUAUCUCAUUUAAGUCAUUUAAUUCAACCGGUGCAAUCCCCCCUUUCCAUCAAUUGUUCAACGGUGUAUCUUUUAGUGGGCCCUAACCCACAGGUCUUUUCCCAGGAUCUUACCUGACUCUUCUAAUUUUCCCGGAGCCAUUCCCAAAGUCUUUCGAAGUUUGACGUAAGAAUGAAUUAUCAUCAGUCAUAUGUCUUUCUCCAAGAUCUUCAAAUUCUUUUCAUCGUUGUCUCAACCCCCUUCGCUUUUCAUUCUCCCGGAGUAUCUCAACAAUUCAUGGUGGUUCUCAUCAUCAUUCUCAACAUUUGUAGACCGAAGAAGUGUUUCCUCUAAAUCUUGGUCCGUUCUCUUAAAGAUUCAUAGUUCAAGCUUGAUGCCAUCCUCUCAUAAUUGUUUUCGAUUGUCUUAAUUCUUUUCUUACCAUCCGGAGCAUUUCAUGAGUUCUUUCCAUUUUAUUCCUACGAAGGCCAUCAUUUCGGGUUUAUUCGUUCUCAGCUUUUAGCUCCCCUUCUCCAUAUUCUAUCGGUGCAUUAUUCAAGUAUUCUCUAAUAAGCUCAUGAUCUCUUCGUUCACUUGUAUCUAAAUCAAGAUUGUUACGGCGGUUUGUUCAAGAUUUCUCUUCCUUCGUUAUCAUAUCAAUUCAUUCGUUGUUUCCAAAUUCCACCGGUGGUUCCAUCUAUACCUUCUCAAGUUUGUGCUAUAUCUCUCUUAAUUCUUUCUACGAGAAUAAGUAGUAUGCCAAAUCCGUUGUUUGUCAUCAAUUUAAAUUGGUGAAGGAUACGCAUACCGUAAUUCUUAUUAUUGUUUCAUCCAAGUGAUUAAUUCCUUCUUCCGGAGAUUGUUCAUGAUGAAGUAAUUCUUGGUUCUAGUAUUCAUCUUUUCUUUCCGGAGUUCCAAGUUCUCUCGGUUAUAUCAUCGCAAAGCUCCAUCUAAAUCAUUGCAAGGCUUCACCUUGUGUUUCCAACUUCUCUUUCUUUUUAUCAUCCUUUUAUUACCGGAGUUCUUCAUGGAGGCUCUACAUGAUGGUUCAUCAAGGAUUUCUUUCAUUCUCAUUUUGUUCUUCAAGAUUUCUCUCGGAGCUAAGAUCCGCCAAGCUAUACUCAAAAGUAAACAUGGUGCUCAACACAUGUCUUGUUUUGAGGAGCUCAAGUAUUCUUCAUCUUGCAUUUUGAGGUGCAAUUCUCCUACCUUAUCUUUUGAGAUGGUGUUAUGUCACUCUUGAAAAUUUCCUUCAUGUUUCAUGAUUCAUAUGUUGUCAAGAAUGAGGUAUUUUAAAUCCAUCAUUUUCUCUUUGUUCAAGAGAUCUUUUCGACCAAUCAACUUCUUCUUUGGAGUUAUCUUGGUAUAGAUUUCACCUAAAGCCUUCCCUAAGGAAUGUUUCUAUUUGUGGUGCUUAUCAAUGAUCCAAGUUAUCUCUUUAUCAUCUUUGUGGAAGAAGUGUUCAUCUCUUAGUUGAUCUCAAGCAAGCAAUUGUUUUUCGUUAGUGGCAUAAUUUCACCUCAAGUGUUGAGAUGUUUCCAUAAGCCCACUACAAGCUUAUUCUUUUCGUUGUUGGCUUUCCAACAACUCUGUUAUAACCUUCUUGGAAGGGUGCUUUCCUAGUUCAUUUGUGGCAGAAAUUGUCAUUUUCUUCUCCGUCCCUUUAUCCCAACAAUCUAGCUUCUAUUCUUUCGUUCCGAAGGCAUUGUGAUGUUGCUCUUUUCACUCAUCAUCUUGCUUUGGCAAGAUCAUGUUCUUCUCCUUGCUUCUCCAUUUAACCGGAGUGUGGUGUCAUCUCUUCAAGUUCUUUUCAUAUUAUCAAGUUUUGCCUAUCAUUUCAACCGGAGUGCUGUCUAAAAUCUUUCUUACCCCUUGUGCCAUUCCUUCAAUAGUUCCGGAGACAGUAUGUUGUUGAUUUCAUCAAGUAUCCUCUCAUCUUGUCAAGUUCAUGUUCAAUUUCUUCCAUUUACAGUUGGAGUGCUGUCAAAAUUAUAUCAUUCUUAUUCAUUCUUAUCUCGUUUCAACCAGAGUGGUUUCAAUUCCUUCUUGUCCAUUAAACUCUUGAUUCAUGUCUUUGCAACCUUCAAGCUCUCGUAAUGUUCCUUGUUCCUCUUUUCUAACGGAUUGUUUGCAAUCUCGUUCAUCUCUAAUUGCUCAACCUCUCAAGGUUCGUGGUUUCACUCAUUGGUCGAAGAAGCAACUUAGUUUUACCUCUUCUCUUCCUUUCUGUUUUCCCUCCGGUGCCAUCCUAGAUCUCGGGACGAGAUCCUCUCAUAGUGGUGGAGUGUUGUAACGCCCCGGAUACAACUUUCCAUAUUUGGAACUCCAACUCUUUCCUUUUCAGGAGAUGCUAUAUGAUAUUUCCUUCGUGGUUGUGUUUUUGUCUGUUGUUUGCUUGUUGUUCUUGUUAUGCAUCUCGUCUCAUAGCAUCAUGCGCAUUGCAUCGGCAUCGUUUUCAUAAAACUUGCAUCCGUUCGUGUUCCGCCGGUUCUCUCCGUUGUCCGUUCUGAGUCCGGACACACUUGCACGCGCCCGCGGCACCUCCGAAAUAUUAUUUUAUAAGUGGCAUAAAAAUGUUCCCGGAAUCGGUUGCAACUUGUCGUGCGGUCUUAUUAUAGUGUAGACAGGCCGCCUGUCAAGUUUCGUCGCAUUCCGAGUCCAUUUGAUAGCCCAACCGUCAUGCGUAGCGGCACCGUUGCCAGUUUAAUCGUCGGACAUUUCGGCUUUCGAAACUGUUGUCGGGCCUCUCUUCUCUUCUCUCCUCUCAGCUCGAGGCCUCUCAUCACAGCCCACUAGUUAGCCUAGCCCACCUACCUAACCCCCCUCCGCUCCAGACCGUCCGAUCGAGAUCGAACGGCUCUGAAACGGAGCAAAUCCCCCUAACCUAGGACCCCUGCCUUUUAAACCCCCCUUCCUUCCAAAAAUGGGCAACCCUAGCCUUCCCCUACCUCUAGCCUCCCCCCUCCUCAGAAUCCGCGCCGCCCCACCUCCUCCCUGCCACUUGGCCUCCUCCCAUUGGCCAGCCACCGCUGUGCAGCCUCCCUCACCCAACCGGAAGCCUCCACCUCGCCUCCNNNNNNNNNNNNNNNNNNNNNNNNNNNNNNNNNNNNNNNNNNNNNNNNNNNNNNNNNNNNNNNNNNNNNNNNNNNNNNNNNNNNNNNNNNNNNNNNNNNNNNNNNNNNNNNNNNNNNNNNNNNNNNNNNNNNNNNNNNNNNNNNNNNNNNNNNNNNNNNNNNNNNNNNNNNNNNNNNNNNNNNNNNNNNNNNNNNNNNNNNNNNNNNNNNNNNNNNNNNNNNNNNNNNNNNNNNNNNNNNNNNNNNNNNNNNNNNNNNNNNNNNNNNNNNNNNNNNNNNNNNNNNNNNNNNNNNNNNNNNNNNNNNNNNNNNNNNNNNNNNNNNNNNNNNNNNNNNNNNNNNNNNNNNNNNNNNNNNNNNNNNNNNNNNNNNNNNNNNNNNNNNNNNNNNNNNNNNNNNNNNNNNNNNNNNNNNNNNNNNNNNNNNNNNNNNNNNNNNNNNNNNCUCCCCUCGCAGUGCCCCGCCGUGUGGCCGUCCGCCCGCUCGACGGUGCGCGCCACCUCGCCGGUGCGCCGCCCCGGUCACCGAACUGCUCCGCCGCCACCGCCGACCAGGUCGCCGCCUCCCUCUCUCUCCCGUCUCUCCCUCUGGUUUCUCUCUCUCUCUCAGAUCUCUCUCUCUCUCCUCUCGCAGGAGCUUGCCGCCGCUGCUCAGUUCUCAUCGCAGGAGCCCCUCCGGCCUCCUCCCGCGGCGGAUCUGGCGUCGUGCCGGCCGGAUCCCGCAGCUCCGGCCUCCUUUUGGCCUCCCGGCGCCGGACCUCGUCGGCAUCGCGCUGCGGCCCGUCCCUGCUGCCUUCCCUCGAUCCCCUCUGGAUCAAGGAGGACGACGCCCUGCGCCACCGCGUGGGCCUCCUCAGCGCCCCGGCCCAGCGCGCUGACCCGCUUCAGCCCAGCAGCGCCAAGGCCCAGCUCGCCCUCCAUCUCCCCCGCGGCCAGGCCCAGCCAGCCUCCUCCACCAACAGGCCGAAGCCCAUGGGUGAGCAGCCCCCAGUGCCACUCUGUUUUUUUUCACCGAUUGGGCCAAACCGGAUUCAGCCCGUUGUGUUUUUUUUCCCUGCUGCGAAUUUAGACAUUAUCCAGAGACUGCCUGUUUUACAGAAAACCCCCUAAGCAUCAUGCAUUUAAUAUCUCUCAAACCGUGCAUCGGAUUAAAAUAAUUUAUAUAUGUAAAAUGCUUAGAAUUCUGUGUAGAUUAAUAAUAUGUCAUUUUCAUCCAUGUUUAAAAUGUUUAAUUUGCUGUUUAUUUAAAUUUGCUCAAUUGCCAUGUUAAAAUGCUUUAAUUCAUAACUAAAUAACCGUAGCUCGGUUUUAAAUAAACUUUAUAUGUAAAUGGGGUGGAAAAAUGCCUAGAUUAACAUGGUGCACUUUAUGUUGCUGUUUAACAACCUUAAAAUGUUGUUUAGGACAGAACAGUACCGAAUCUAAAAUAUGCAUAUGGGGAUUUUCCAGACUUGUUGUUUGUUACUUUCGGCCUCAUUUAAAUUUGCCUAGAUAGGUAGUUUCCUUAUGUUUCACCUCUUUCCAUGUUUAACAACAUUUAAUAUUGUUGUGUACCUAAACGAGAGAGAACUAAAUAAUUGCAUGUGGUGUUUUGUCAAUAUGCAACUCGUUGCAUAUUGAGCUCCACUUAAUUUGUAGUAUUGUGUGUUGCAGUUUGCCAUGCCAUGCCUCUUUAAACCGGACAUGCAUCAUACUUGAUUGUGCAUCAUGCCAUGAUUAUGCUUGUGUGUUUACCAUGUUGUUUGUUUCUUUCCGGUGUUGCUUCUUAGUUCCGGUAAUGUUGCGAUUGUGAGGAUUCGUUCGACUACGUCCGCUUGUCUUCUUCAUGGACUUCUUCUUCCUAGCGGGAUUUCGGGCAAGAUGACCGCUACCCUGGAUCUCACUACUAUCAUUGCUAUGCUAGUUGCUUCGUUCUAUCGCUUUGCUGCGCUAGCUAUCAUCUGUUUGUCGAGCCAUCCCAUGUUGCCAUGAACCUCUAACCUUUGACACCUUUCCUAUGCAAACCGUUGUUUGGCUAUGUUACCGCUUUGCUCAGCCCCUCUUAUAGCGUUGCUAGUUGCAGGUGAAGUUGAAGAUUGCUCCAUGGUGGACAGGAUUUUGGUUGGGAUAUCACAAUAUCUCUUAUAUUAUUAAUGCACCUAUAUACUUGGUAAAGGGUGGAAGGCUCGGCCUUAUGCCUGGUGUUUUGUUCCACUCUUGCCGCCCUUGUUUCCGUCAUACCGGUGUUAUGUUCCCGGAUUUUGCGUUCCUUACGCGGUCGGGUGAUUUAUGGGACCCCCUUGACAGUUCGCUUUGAAUAAAACUCCUCCAGCAAGGCCCAACCUUGGUUUUACCAUUUGCCUCACCACCACCUAUAUUUCCCUUGGGAGUAAUUAACCCAAGGGUCAUCUUUAUUACAGCCCCCCCAGGCCAGUGCUUGUCUAAGUGUUGGUCCGAACUAGAGCCCUUUGCAGCGCCCCCUCAGGCAAACUUGAGGUCUGGUUUUAGUUGUACGGAUUGCUCAUCCGGUGUUGCCCUGAGAAUGAGAUAUGUGCAGCUCCUAUCGGGAUUGUCGGCGCAUCGGGCGGUCUUGCUGGUCUUGUUUUACCAUUGUCGAAAUGUCUUGUAAACCGGGAUUCCGAGUCUGAUCGGGUCUUCCUGGGAGAAGGUCUAUUCCUUCGUUGAUCACGAGAGCUUGUCAUGGGCUAAGUUGGGACACCCCUGCAGGGUAUAAUCUUUCGAAAGCCGUGCCUGUGGUUAUAGGCAGAUGGGAAUUUGUUAAUGUCCGGUUGUAGAUAACUUGACACCAGAUCCAAAUUAAAACGCAUCAACCGCGUGUGUGGCCGUGAUGGUCUCUUCUCGACGGAGUCCGGGAAGUGAACACGGUCUUUGGGUUAUGUUUGACGUAAGUAGGAGUUCAGGAUCACUUCUUGAUCAUUGCUAGCUUCACGACCAUUCCGCUUGCUCUCUUCUCGCUCUUAUUUGCGUAUGUCAGCCACCAUAUAUGCUUAGUCGCUGCUACAGCCUCACCACUUUACCCCUUCCUUUCCCUCUAAGCUUUGCUAGUCUUGAUACCCAUGGUAAUGGGAUUGUUGAGUCCUCGUGGCUCACAGAUUACUCAACAAUAGUUGCAGGUACAGGUUAUGCGAUGAUCAUGACGCGAGAGCGAUGCUUGCUUGCGUUGAGUUCUUCUUCUGCUUCUUCGAUCAGGGGAUAGGUUCCAGGUCGGCGGCCUGGGCUAGCAGGGUGGAUGUCAUUUGAGUUUCUGUUUGUGUUUCAUCCGUAGUUGGAUGAUGCUCUUAUGUAUUGUGAUGUUGUAUUCGUGUGGCAUUGUAUGCCUUAUGUAUGUAUCCCUAUCUAUUAUGUAAUGUUGAUGUAAUGAUAUCCACCUUGCAAAGCGUUUCAAUAUGCGGGUCUAUCCUUGGUGGGACCUUCGAGUUCCUUUUGGAUAGGGUCGCAUAUUGAGUGUGACAAUAAGAAAUGUGCUUAUCAAGUUCCCCCACACUUAAAUCUUUGCUUGUCCUCAAGCAAAGGAAUAUGACAAAGGCAAGAUAAUGAACAGUAAACUGAGUAAGGAAUGUCCUGGUAAAAUAGAUCUCCAAACAAGGCAUGCUUCAGACUUAGCUAGUGAAAAUUAAUGGUUAGGAGUGCUACAAAGCAGUAGGAUACUAGUAAGCAUGACCAUUUUAAACUUUUACAGAGAUAAAAGAGGAUCAACAAGUUUAAAUGAUGAAUGCGCCAAAUGGUUCCUAAAGAGAGCAUGAUCCCAAGAACAAAAUGAACUGGAAUUAAAUCUUGUGAUCAAAUCACUUAUUUACAGAGAUAAAGCAAUGAUUAUAUUAUUAUUAGUCUCACCAUAGGAACAUACCACCGAUCCCGAGAACAUGGUAUACACCUGGCUCGACCAAUUAUUAGUUUUUUUUGUUUGUCUCCCCAAAGGAACAUACCACCGAUCCCGAGAACAUGGUAUACACCUGGUUCGACAAUUACAUUUUUUAUUAUUAAUUACUGCCCAAGCUAACCCUAUUUCACAUGCCACCGAUCCCGGGAACAUGACAUGCUACUGUAGGUAGUCAGACUUAUUUAUUCAUUAUCACUUAUCUUAAAUGAACAACACAUAAGCACAAAAAUAGGAAUCAUCACUUCUCCAUGUCUGGUUCACAUGCUACCGAUCCAGGGAACAUAGCAUGCUAAUCCAUAGUGGUUAGGUGAUUGCUCUCAAUGGGAACACACUUAGCACAAAUUCAGCAUCUAAAUGUGGUGAUCUAGGUGUAUCGAGGUAAAAGCAGAAAAUGAUUAAGUUUUCUAGUAUACUAGGGAUUUGAGCACUCAAAACUAAUAACUUCCACUACUUUCAGCAAAGCAAGCAUUGUAUAGAUCACUAGUUUACCAGGCAUUCAACACUCAGUUCACAUAUUCUCAUCAAGCACCAUAUGUCAAGUAAAAUUCAGUGGGGCAACAUUUAAGACAUGGCUUAAGCAACCCAAAUAACAUUUGAUUUCAGCAUGUAUCAAUGGAUGAUAUACUAGGAAUGGGUCAUGAAACAGCUCACCGGGUUUUCAUAGGAAGUAGCACUCGCUCGAUCACCUCACCAACUGCAGCUCCUCUCCUUUUGCUUCUCUAUCCUCAUGCCUGCUCCAGCUUCUCCCUUCCUCGAGUGUGCCCCCUUGCUUCUCCUCAUCCCCAUGCUCUGAGUCCACCAGGGUACCAAGGAAUGUCACCUCGAACCUGGUCAGCAUGUAAUGGAUCGUGCACAAGCAAAAACCUGAAAGCACACUCAACAACCAAGCCAAUACAAGUGACAGAGAGAAUGCCUUCUAAGUCAUCGAUAGAGUACCCUAUCAUAUAAGUAUAUCUAUUGAUGAAAUCAGGAACAUGUAUCAACAACAAGUCACAUGGGGCAUAGGCAAUAUCAGCGAUAUGACAUGUCUUGUCCAGAAAGCUAAGAUCAUACCUGAGAUAGUUAGGAAGAAGCUUCAGGACUACCUCAAUUGAAGAUACCAAGUGAGGUGUGGUAGUAGAAAUUUCAACCGGACUCGUAUCAACAAGUGAAAUAGUAGAGCUUGGCUCCUUGACAUUUGAAUCCACCUCACCAUACUCAACCAUGAAGCUCUCCGUCUCAGGCUCAAGUGUUGAGGAAGUAAUGCGGCUAACAUCAUCGAAGGUGAACUUCUCCAUAUCUGGCUCUAGCAGCACAUGAUCAAUAUCAACUAAAGGUGACUCCUCAAUAUCAAAAACAACUAACUGCAGCUCUGGCUCAUCCAUGGAAGAAUCAUCACAAUGCAAAACCGAAUCUCCAACACUAGUAUCCAUAUGAUCUGUAGCGUGUGUGUCAACUAGAAUGGUGUCAUCAUCGUCAAAGAUAAUCCAUGCAAGCUCAAUCUUGUCACACAGAGAUAGAGGUUCAGGGUUUUGUGUAAGAAUUGGUGGCUAAGGUGUAGUGAUUUGUUGCAAGCAAACCAAUGAAUCAGACGUGGGCUUCUUAUUGUACCACUGAAGUUGGUGGAAAGCUAUGCUCUCAAUCAGCAGAAAAGCUUCAUCAAGUGUCUUGUUUGUAAUAGCUCCACCCGCUGCCAUAUCGACAUAAGCUCGAGUGUUCGAAGUCAAUCCUCUAUAGAAUAUCUGCAGCUCUAACCAUCUCUCGAGCCCGUGGUUAGGACAUCUCCUGAAUAAAGCCUUCUAUCUCUCCCAAGCAUCAUACAAGCUCUCGCCUUCACACUGAACGAAGCUGAGGAUCUCAUCUCGAAUUGCGGACUGCUUGUGUAGUGGGAAAUAUUUAUCCAAGAAAGCUUGUGAUAUCUCGUUCCAACUGAAUGAUCUUGAUGGCAAGGAUCGAUACCAAGCACGAGCAUCAUCCCGGAGAGAGAAUGAGAACAGCAUGCACUUGAUAGCAUCUUGAGGAACUCCAUGGUACUUGACUGUACCUGAAUACUCCAUGACUCGGUAUAAGUGCUCAUAGGGAUCCUCAGUGAGCAGACCUCCAAACUGUUGUUGUUGAACCAAAGCAAUAAGACUAGGCUUUAGCUCAAAAUUUUCUGCCUCAAAAGACGGCCAAAGUGGCCCUGUGAAAUAGCAUUGGCUGCUUGGCAUCCAAACAUCACGAAGCAUCGCCAUAUCUCCACCAAGUGUAACUAUCAAUCAACCUGCAAAUAGAUCAGAUUUCCUAUGCACACUCAUAAAUAGUAAAUACUAGUCAGAAUGUUAUAUCCUAAUAAGCCGAAGCAACAACAAGGAAAAAAUAUAAAAGAAACACAGAAAAAGAAAUACACGAUGAAUUAAACACGAAACUAAAAUAAACCUAGUCUAUAGCUAACAUAAUCGCUCGACGCUAUUCCCCGGCAACGGCGCCAAAAUGAUCGAUUGUAUUAUAGUGGGGUUUUUACGCCAAAACUACGAGUGUCGUGUUCUCCUCAGGGACUAGGCGACGGCAACUAUACUCGGCUAAAGCUAGGUAACAGAAUUUAGAUGAUGAUUGCAAGGAAAUAUAAGCCUAAACUAACCAAAGUUGACGACAAAGGAAAUGAAAAUAAGCAAGGGGAGGUUCAGAUUAUCUUCACUUUGUCUUUUUUUGGUAUUUUCAUAUUAUUCUAGAAACUAAAUACUAACACAGGACAUCACCAUCGACAGAAAGAAAGUAACAAGAAAUGAUCACAAAUAUAUUUAGCAGACGUAUAUACGAGAUGAAAAACAGAACAAAGAUAAUAGGACAAGGACAGAAAUGUUUGACACCAUAAGAUUGUAUAUAUAUAACACAAAUACUACGAACUGACCAUGUUUCUACAGCAACCACAGUACACAGGGAAUAGAUUCAACUAAUAACAAACCAACAAAUCACACUGACAUGAUAUCUUCUUGUCAAGUAGCCAACAACUAGUAAGAAAACAUUAAAGAAGAACUAUAUUUAUAAGUAUGUAACAGAGCACAUAGCUAUUUAAGUACUAGUCAAAUCUGAACAAUACACAUCACAUGUGUUUCAAUCUUACAGAAAUUUCAGAGAGCAUGAGAAAGAAAAAAAAAGUAGCAGGAGGUUGAGGUAGUAGCAGCCAGGUUGAAGAGAGAAGUAGCAGCAGGGGGUUGAGAAAAGAGAAGUAGUUGGUGAUAGAGUAGUAGCAGCAGCAACAAGAGGAGGAGCAGGACGGCAACAGGCGUUGAGAGAGAAGGAGGAAGAGAUUCAGCAGCAGGAGGUUGCGGGCAUCAGCAGCAGCAAGGAGGAGAGAGGCGCGCGGGGGGCCAGACACCCGUCUGGUCGGGCGCGCGAGGUGCGGCGGUGGGAUGGCGGCGCUGUGGUGCAGAUGGAGUGGUGGAUGUUGCUGAUGGUAUGGCGCGGCGGCGAAGAUGUGGAUGGGCGGCGCUGGUGGAAGCUGUGUGGUGGCUGAGAGGCGCACCACCACGCUGGCCUGUCCGUGGCGGCGGCCGAUGGUGGAGAAGAAGGGGAGAGGGAGAGAGAUCAGUGGCC